UUGGCCUGCUGCUGGCUGCUGAGCACAAAAAUAUCUAGCUAAUUAUUAUGUGGUUAUUUCAGGCCAACAGCUUACUUACAUGUAAAAUGAUGAAUUGAAAGUGGAUCUAGUUAGACAUAUACAUUUUUAAAAUUAGGUUUUUUUUUUUAAUAUACAUAAUUAUAUUAUUUGAUAUUUUGGGCUAUAAAAUAAUAGUUAUGGUAUAUCCAUCAAUCACAUCCAGUAAGCUAGAAAGUAAGGCCAUAAUAGAAUUAAGGAAAAUGCGCUUGGCAAACAGAUUGGAAUCUGAUCGAACUCAAACCAAAAUACAAAUUGAGAAACAGUGGCUCGAAUAUUUGAACAGACAAGAAGAAUGUAGGCAAAAAAGAGACAACAUAAUUGAUAGACAGAUAAAUCUUAAAGAGCAGGAGCUGGAGUUGAAGAAAAGAAAGCUUGAAUUGAGACAGUCACUGGAAUCUGAAAACAUGCAUUUGCUUGAAAAAGAUUUGACGGAAAUCUUACAGUGCCAAAAAGAAAAAUAUGAUCUAUUAUAUACAGUUUUUGACAAGUA